UGCUCACUUGCAUUAUAAAACCACAAAAAAAGAGAUGACUAAUACGGCCAGUCAAAUCUGAUAAUGCAGGACACAGGAGGAUAUAAAUAAAUAACUCUCAGCACUGGGAAGGUGUGGCAACCCUUUAUACCCUGUCUAACAGGGUGGAGGGAAUAGAUUUUCAUAAUUCAUGAUAAAUUGCACUAAUCUGAACCUAAAUCACAUCAACACUGACAGAGGAAAUGUGGGUGAAUUUUUGAGUAAGAGACAUAAAUGCUCUUUGCAUUGCUCCAGUCAGUGGGAAAUGCUUGACCAAUGCUCUGCUGGUGGUGGACUGGACUGGACAUGUAAACACAGGCAUUAGAGGGAACCAACUCACAAGCAAGCAACAGGAACAAAUCAAACCUGCUCUACAAGGAUUUUG